rnacentral:lncRNA from 9 species
UGGGGUCGUCGAGGGGCGUGCCCGCGGGCUUUCGCCGGCACAGCCGCCAUCCGAAGUCGCUGUCUCCGCCUGGGGUCGUCUGAGCACUGCGGCUUAGAAGGCUGCUCUGCACAACGUGGGGGAAGGGGCAGAGGCCGCUGCGCCGCGGCUCCCCGCAUCGCAGUCGGUCUCCCCUCCCCCCCAUUGAAGCUCCGUCGAGUCCGAGCCCGCGGGCGGGAGGCAGAGGCCAGCUGGGGAAACCGAGGCACAGACUGUACCAAGGCGCACCAGGUGUUAGCACACUACGAAGAAGCCAAGUGAAAGCCUAUGAGGAGCGACCCGUCCGAGGCCAGGAUUUUCCCCAGGGCCUGGGUCCUGGGGAUCGGGACAGCAAGACAGGGACCACUCUCCCUCCCAGCCUGGCGCCAGCUUGAACCCGAGGGCAUGUCAACAGGAGCCAGGAACUGGAGGCGAAGCAUCUUUCAUUUCCUCUGCGGCGGUGGAACAAGUGAGGUCUCUGAUUGCUAGGGUCUGGUUUUUCAAAAUCACAGCUUGUGGAGACCCAAAGGGGUUGGGGGGUACCCUGGAAUAUUCUUUUAUCUGCUCAACCUUGAGUCAGACUUGCAAUCAGCAUUUGAUCAGGAAACUUGGUCAGUUUCUCAAAAUGCAAAAUCAAUCACAGAUUUUACUUUUUUCCUUGGCAUUUCCUUGGGAUAGUCUCUGUUCUGGGAGUGAACGAUUAUAAACUAUUGUCUUAAAUUCUGUCCUGAUUAGCAUCUUUCCUCAAUUCAGGAUUUCCCUGGAGCCAGAUCUUUGCAGCUUCAGGAUUAUGACUUUUUUAAAAAUAUAAGUUUGAUGAAUUUUUAUCUGUUCCCUAAAUUAGAAACUCCCUUAAUUACAGGAGAAAACAUUUUCAAAGAAAAAGGGUAGACCUUUAGAGCAAGCCCUGGAGCAAUGCUUCUAAAGAAAAUCUCAGGGCAGAUAGGUCCUCAGAACCAAAUGAGAUCGUCUUUUCUGCAGCCCACCGUCUUUCAGUUAAUUCUUGAAAGAAUAAAAGAAAGUUGUUCAUCCUCCUGCAGAGGAUUCUGACUUGACAGAAAGCAUGGUCUUGGUUAAAUUGUUUUAAAAUUGGGCUUGGGCGACCAGAUGGUAGAUGAGGGGAAAUUUCUCUAUAAAAGUAUUUCCAGCUAAUAAAUGAAGAAAGAAUGAUAGCACAUCACCAUUUUGCAUCCCUAAUGAAUUAAUGGAUCUAGGCAUGAUCAGGUAUGGUUACUAACACCAUGGAAAAAGAGAACACACGUGAUGUGCUAAUGGAAAAAAAAAACUCCACACCAACUUUGAAGUUGUCUUGACACUCCUUGCAGCCCAGCCUGCCCCCCUAAAUCAAGCCUGCAUCGGGUCAAGCCUCAUCUGGAUCAACACUACCAUGAGAAACUAUCCACAUCUCAUGAAACUGCAAAUAACCCAGUUCUUCAAAUGAAUUGCAAGGAAAAUCAUUGCAUUUAGAUUCUAAAUCAAAUAAAAUCUAAGAAAAAGAAUGACAUUCAUAGGACACUUACGAAUUUGAACACUGAUGAUGGAGUUCAUUGGGAAUUGCAGUGGUUCUGCAGUGGUUCUGGUCUCUGGCCUGGGAACUUCCACAUACCACAGGCGUGGCCAAAAAAAAAAAAAAUAGCACUGAAGGGGUAUUUGA